GGGCCCGCACAAGCGGUGGAGCAUGUGGUUUAAUUCGAAGCAACGCGAAGAACCUUACCAGGUCUUGACAUCCUUUGACCACUCUAGAGAUAGAGCUUUCCCUUCGGGGACAAAGUGACAGGUGGUGCAUGGUUGUCGUCAGCUCGUGUCGUGAGAUGUUGGGUUAAGUCCCGCAACGAGCGCAACCCUUAUUGUUAGUUGCCAUCAUUUAGUUGGGCACUCUAGCGAGACUGCCGGUGACAAACCGGAGGAAGGUGGGG
rnacentral:rRNA from 1 species